UUUCCUAGAAACUUCUUGCAUCACCACUUCUAAGAACCCCAGUUCUAAGAAUCAACAGAGCUCAAUUCUCGGAAUUUGAGCUUCGGACUUUACCACUGCUACGUGGCAGGGGAGGACUUGGUGUCAGCUCUCUGAGAUUUUUACCUCCCCUGGCCGAUCAAAAGCCCUCAAAGCCACAAGAUUUUUUCGCUAUCCGGCAUAUUUCGAGGUCCGCAUAAGCAGAGUGUCUCGGAUUUGGAGGUUCCGGUUCGAGGUUCGAGGGGCCUGAAUGUGGCUCUCCCUCCCCGGGCCCAUGACGAUGGUAUGGCCUGCUCCGCCACCGUCACGUGGGCUCCUCCUCUGUGACGUCGGCGCCUUCGCUGUAGCAAAGCUCGGCCUCUGGAAUUCUGAGAACUAAUUUGCUAUUCGGUGACAUAAGAGGGGGAGUGCGCUUUGCUUUCCCUGGGUCUGGGGCUAAUUCCUCCUCUCUUACCCAUAAACUCAGCAGAUCGAGCUAAAUGCACAAAAGGGAGCGAGAGGUUUGAACCACUGGAAAAAGUAUGUUAUAUAUAGUAGGGUUAGAGAGGCAAGUAAGAGAGAGAGAGAGAGAGAAAAAAAAAAAAAAAAACAAUAAACACCACAGCUCUUUCCAGCUAGAAUAUUAGGCACCACGAGAAAAAUAUUUGCCAAGCAGUUUUCGGGGGCUCACAAGAGGAAGUUGUUUUCACCUGUCAAGAACCUCUGGCACCUUGGCUUUCUUCUUUCAGGAUUACAGGCUGGGUCUUCACUAGGAGGAUGUGUGACCCGAGGAACACAACACAACUGAAAAUAGGUCUGCAUGAUUUGCUGGCCCUCUGUCAUUUUAGAGGAUCGGGGUAACCUGACAACUUGAGUCUGUAGGACUGAAAAAAGAUGACCAUCAUAUGCAAGUUUUGUGUGUGGACUCCAGUGUAGGACCACAGGCUUCUAUGACACCAUGAUUGCAUGCUGUUAAUAAAUAUAUGAUUGUUUUAUGCAUAGUGCAAU